UACGUAGGGGGCAAGCGUUGUCCGGAAUCAUUGGGCGUAAAGCGCGUGUAGGCGGCUCGAUAAGUCUGCUGUGAAAGUCCAGGGCUCAACCCUGGGAUGCCGGUGGAUACUGUCGAGCUCGAGUCCGGAAGAGGCGAGUGGAAUUCCUGGUGUAGCGGUGAAAUGCGCAGAUAUCAGGAGGAACACCAGUGGCGAAGGCGCCGCUCUGGGCCGUGACUGACGCUGAAGAGCGAAAGCGUGGGGUAGCAAACAGG
rnacentral:rRNA from 1 species